AAAAAAAAAAAAAAAGUGAGGUGCCUGUGAGCCACAAUUCUGUAUCUAGCACCGCAUGUAAUCAUUGCAUGUAACAACAUGUAAAUUGGUCCAGUUAUGCAUCUAGCAUCACAUGAUUUUCUAUUUUCCACGAGGCAAUUGGUGCAGUUAUGUAAUCAUCAUGGAUAUGUUGAAAGAGCAAUACAAGAAAAGAAAGAUCAUAAAAAGGAUAAAAAUGCGAGUUGUUCUUUUCUUUUUUUGUUAGAUUUCGUAUAACAAUUUUUUAGAUCAGGUAACUUGACACAAUACACAAGUAAAAUCCUAUUCUUUCUUUUCCACGGUUAAUAAAAUAAUGGUUGCAUAAGUGUAUGCACUCAACACAUCACUGGUUUAAAUUGCUCUACAAAAUAGAACUAUUACAAGGGCUCCAGCAAGUUCAUAGCCACAAUUGCACUAAAAACCAUAUCAUUUCCCUACUGUAACACAAAAUUAACCUGCAAAAACAAUAUUGAGAUAAGUUCUUAAGGUUUCAAUUAAAUAGAGAGCAACACUGCCCUUCUGAAAUAUACCUCAAGUUGCAGCUCGAUUUGGACGAAAUGUGAAUAAACACAAAUUAAACUUGCUGAAUUUAAAAAACAUGCUUAAAUAUCACUUUGUAGAUGUUACAGUAAAGCAUGCUAACACGUGGUUCAAAACAUUAACAGUCAUGAGAGAAUAUCUUUCACUAACCUGAGCAGCUAAAAGAGGUGGGACCAUAUUCUGAAUUUGAGAUAAACUUUGAUUCAGCGAACUCUUUAUCCUUUCGCAUCUUAAUAAGAUGGCUUCACCAGUAAGUGCCUGACAUUAUAAAUAUGAAUAAGGUAGAAAUAUAAGAGAAACGGAUGAAAUUCAAACUUAAACAGAAAGAUGCACUAGUUAUAAAAAAUUAGAGCAAAGUGAAACGAUUAACUUGACAAUGUAAAAUAAAAGGAAAUGACAUAAGAUCCCCGCAGAUUUUUCUAUUAAUCUUUCUUGUAGAACUAUACUUUGCCAUAUUUCUUAUUAGUAUUGGCAGUGAUUCUAUUAAUAUUUAAACUAUAUAUUAAAAAAAAAAAAAGAUCUUCCAAAUGGGAAAGAAAAAGAAAUGUGGUUUUGCGUUUUCAUAAAAUUGAAGUAACAAAUGGCAGAACCAUAAAAUCAGAUAAGCAGAGUAAUCUCCAGAAAAAUUAUAAGCAAUCAUUUUGCAAAAUAAAGCUUUUUUUGUUAACUUAGAAUAAUCAACAAGGAUUAUCACAAAAAAUAUCAACUUCAAAGGGCAUAUGCAAAAAACAGAUUUCUCAAUGGUACAUAUGGAGAAAAUUUUGCAAAGGUAUAUAUGCAAACCCCUAAAUAAGGGAGCACAAAUGUAGGUCGAUAUGCAUUGCCUAUGCAUAUGGAGUUCAAGAUUUAAAAAAAAAAAGAAAAGAAAAGAAAAGGAAAAGAAAAGCAUACCAAGUAGAGUUUGCUACAUUCGGAACAGUGCUGAAUGAUUAGCUUUCCUUUCUCAACUGAGGUAUUUAAAGAACAUAGCGCAUGAAUCCCUAAACUGCUUCCCGGUCUAGCAGAUUCCAUUGCAGGAAGAAUAGAAGCGAUUCUAUCCAAUAUCUUUCUAAGCUCACAGCAAAUUGAGCCAUGAACCUAAAAUAGAGAGUAAAAAGAAGGGGGGAAAAACUAUGUAAGCUAAAAAAGUCGCAAGAAAAAUAAAAACAUGAAGUGGUAGACAUUAGCAUACGAAGAGCAAUAAGCACAAAAACUACACCAGUCAAAAACUCCUGAUUCCUAUAUUUUUCAAAGACUCAACAUGUUUCAACUUUCUACCUUCAAUAUCUUCUUACGUGAAUAUAUUUAGAGUUGUUCCUAUUAACAAGAAGAAGAGUUGGAAAAAAUACAAUCUAAGACCAGCUAAAAACACUAAAACUGCAGACAGUAAAGGCAGCAACUGGAUGAGUCAUUUAGAAACAACCACGAAAAUAUGAAAGAUUUCACCAAGAUCAUAUUUUAUAGGUCAUUUCAGCACUCUUAAUUAACAAUUUUCCAUCAAAUACAUGACAACUAUAUUGCACUCAUGAGUUGACCAAAUAAAUAUAAUAGAUUAUCAAUGAUCUUCUCUAGCUACUUAUCUCCAGCAAGCAGUAAAAAAUUCCUACUCUUUUGUCUGCACACCAUUACUGCAGAAGAAAGUCUAAAGACACUAUUGUUAAGCUUUAACAGAUAAACUGUACUCACAACUGGAGAACAAAGACAGCUCUUAUCCAUUUUAGACUGUACUUACAAUUGGAGAACAAAGAUAGCUAUUAUCCAUUUUAUGGGAAAAAAAAAAAGACCUCUAUCAUUUAAUUACAUCAAGAGACGAGUAUGUACCUUUACAUCAGAAGAACUUUGUGGAACAUGCACAGUUUCAGCAACAUCAUUCUCCAUCCAAAUAAGAAACUGGCUACUGGACUCAAUCUGCAAAGAAAUUGAAUAUGUUGAUAAAUUAAAUAAGAUUAAAAAAAAAAAAAGGCAAAGAAAGAGCCAAUUAAAGCCAAAAUGAAGACUAUCAUAAUUAUUUGUAAAUAACCUGCAGCGUUUUAAAGUUUGUUGUGCAAAAGUAGUGGAUGUGAAUUAUCUUAACUUCUUAACAAGUGUUUUAAUAAAAUCACCCUUAUAUGUUAUAACAAUAUGAUUUUAGAGAGACUACGACUAAAACUGGACUGGUAUAAUAACGACGCAGGAUCUGGCGAACAACAGCUCAAACAGUGCAAGGUCGAGCUUCCAUGAACCAAGCACAUGCCACAAAGUAGUAUCCUCAAGCUUAACCAAUGUGUCAACAGAAUUGAACCCACGAAAGUGAUACAAAAAAACAGCACUAAGUGUUAAAUACUCCUAUCAGUCUCAGUUCUUGUGUCAGCUCGAUCAUCAAAAGGAAGUUUUGUUUUGGAAGUUUCAUCACGGACUUAAAGUUUCACCUAGAACUCAGAAAUCAAAGGCAUUCAAAUCCAACUUGUGUCAUCCCUGAUCCAAAAUUAUGUUUCAGAAAAUGAAACAGAGUUUCAAAAACCGGACCCCCACCAAAAAAAAAUAAAAAUAAAAAAGAAAAGUAGACUAAAACAAAGGUUGGUUUCUAAGAACUUGCUCACCAAAAUAAAAACAGGGGACUUUUUUUUUCUAUAUCAAGGAACUUUCAUGGGUAUAUACACAAGAGUAUUUCCAAUUAUAGGCAUUUGUUUAACAAACUAUAUCGUAUAAAUAGCUACACAUGGCCACCUAUGAAAAUUUAGGUAAAUACAAUUUAUCUAAAGUACAUCAUGACAAACUCAUAUACAGUAUGAUUCAAACGGAAAAGCAUCUAUUCUCGCUACAUGUACACUCCACCGAAUAAAUACUUAACUACACGCCAAACUCAAACUCAAAUUCCCAACAUGUGAUUUAUUCCUCGUAAUCGCAAUACAACAACCUACUAGAUAAGGAAUCAAAUAGGAAUUUUUAACCAGAGAUGCUCAAAGCCACAUAAUAAUUCACAUAACAAUCCAAACUAAACCUAAAAAGUGCAAUAGAAAACGCAAAAUUAAGCAUUAAUUCGACAAUCCCAAGCAUAAAACCAACCCUGACUACACAAACAUGACCUAAAAAUCGAAUUUUGAGCGGAAAAACCGAUAAGAAGAAGCGAUUAAACAGGAACAAAACCUGAUUUCGAGCACAAAAUCCUUCUACGCAGUCAUCAGAAUCCAAUUUCCCCCGCCAACAAAUACUUAUUAGGGUUUUCCUUGUUCUCUCGAUGGUUCAAGGAGAAAGUAAAGAUGGUAGUAAUAAUUGCUACGAAACAAGAAGUAAAUCGAUCGGUAAAAAAGCGACGUGAGGAGGAUAGAGGAUCCAAUCGAUCGAGGAUCGCCAACCACCGAUUAUAUGAGAGAGAGAGAGAGAGAGAGAUUAGGUUCUAGAGAGAGAGAGAGAGAGAGAGAGAGAGAGAGAGAGAGAGAGCGACACCUAACCCGCGGAGACGACGACGCAUUCGAAGGUGGAGGGGAGAAAGGAAAGGAAAGGAGACGGAGAGAGAGGGGGGUGCCGAGUCCCCCUUUUUGGCAGUUAGUGGGGCCCAGGCCCACUGCAAGAGAGGGUGGUGGGUGGAAUUGUUCAAAAGUGGGAGUGGUGGUGACCUGGGGACCCACUUCGCAAGGAAAUGACAUGGUUAAAAAAUAAAUAAAAAUCAAAUAAAACAAAAGGUAAAUCACAACUCUGGUGGUUCUCAAAUUAUCAUAUGUCCGCCACAUUUUUAAGUUUUCAAGUUUUAAUUUAUCAUAAUUUUUUAUUUGUAUUAUUUAGUUUGUCGUCGUAAAAUUUUUCAUUACAAUUUGGUUGAUCAAAUAUUAAUACACCGUUAAUCAAGAAUUUAAGUGUAAUGAUACGGGAUCGCGUCGAAAACUUAUUAAUAAGGUAUAGGACGGUGCGUAACGGUCAUAAAAAAUACAUGUGUUGAUACAUAAUAACAUAAAAUAUUUAUAUUUUUAGUAAUAAAAUAUUUUUUAUUAUUUAUUAUGUAUUUUUAUCAAUUCUUUUAAAUUUUAUUAAGAAAAUUACUUACUAACUUCAAAAAUAGAGAAUUUUUUGCUGUGACAUUUCGGCACGAUACGGUAGAUACGGUCCCUUGUACCUGUGGAUUCAAAAAUUCUUGUAGUUAAUAUAGCAAUAAUGCAGUCGUUGUUUUUUUUUUUUUUUUUUUUUUAGAGAGAGAUAGGUAAACACGCUACCCGCUUCGUUUAUUUCAUUUAGAAAUAAACUUAGCUAGAAAUGUGAAUCAACUAGGAUUCGAAUUUGGGUCUCGAGUACCGACCAACAAGCUCUUUGCCACUUGCUCUAGGGACGGUCGGUAAUAAUGCAAUAGUAUUAUGACUGAUAAUGUAAGAAUGACUAAAAUAUCUUAUUAUCACAUCAGUGACACGUCAAUAUUAAACUAACUAAAUUACAUUGUGAAACUUUAUUGUAAUUAAAAAGAUCAAAAAAGCUUGGGCCUAAAAUUAUAAUAUGUUAAAAUUUAAAGUCUAAGAUGCCCUAAGUUUCAUACUUUGAGGACCAAAGUACCGUUUAGUCUGGGAUAGAAGGGGAAAUUAUCACUUGCACGUACGUGAUGUGGGGAAAUUAUCACUUGCACGUACGUGAUGUAUUUUAUGCUUCGUGCAACGUACCAACUUAAUUUCUCCUCGAAAAGUGCAUGGACAAAAUAUGUACUAUAUAUGAUCUCUGUAAUCAAAUUAUUAUGUGCUGCAGUUUCAUUUUGACUAUCAAACAAUAGAAAAAAAUAAAAAAAUAAAAAAUCAAUGAUAUAUUUUUCCGUAGAAAACUAUGGUGGUCAAAAUAUUUUUUGCCGGCUACAUCUCACAAUAAAAAAAUAAAAAAAUAAAAAUAAAAAUAAAGAAAAGAUGAGCCUGCCUCACCAUUAACUAUAAAACUUUGAAAAAAAAAAAUAUGGGGCUUGAUUGUUGUCAUGCCCCGAGGCCAGUUUGAGAAAGCAUAUGUAUGACGAAUAUUUAUUUCAGAAAUAAGAGUUGCUGACCGACGGUCCCUACUGCAAGUGGCAAAGAGUAUGGUGUUUGAUACCCGAGACCCAAGUUCGAGUCUUAAUUGAUUCACAUUUCCAGCUAAAUUUAUUUCUAAAUAAAUGAAAUAAACAAAGCGGACAACAUGCUACCUUUCUCUCAAAAAAAAAAAAGAAAAAAAAAGAAAUGAGAGUUGCAGAAAACACACCCUCCUUUUUUUGGAAAGCUGUCUGGCCCACGUAACUUAGAGACCCGCCACAAAUACAAAAUUUUUCUGUCCAUACGGACAGAGUCUUACUUAUAUUUGCACGGCGUACUAUCUUAUAUAACAAGAUCCAAAAUCACAAUUACAAUCCACACAUUCACACCAUUAUUCACAACAACUCAUAUGAUGAAUAAAUCUCACAAGCAACCUAUUAGUUGAAAGUGCUCCCCCACUCGAAAGCUUUGUUUUUAACCUCUAAGUAAAUCAUCAAUCGAUUGCAAUCAAAAUCCGUUUUGCAAACUGUUUUCCACGCAGAAACGAUUCAUUUUGAAAACCAACUACCGCAAGGAGUAAAAACCAAAAAACGUAGAUGCGAAAAAGUCAAAAAUACCACAAGCCCGGAAAACUCAAAGUACAUACGUAAACGAAAAACCAAAACCACGUUAGUCCAAGUUACUAAUCAUGCAUAAUAACCAUGAUUAACAAUUUAUUAUUUAAACUACUAAAGAAGUAAGAGAGAUUAAACGGGGUGAACCACUAAUGCAACUAACUAGGCCAUCCUCCCAUCGCACCGUGACUCGACCCCUCUUUCGUAUCACCUGAAAAAAAAAGGGUGUGAGAAAUCACAAAAGAGGUUUCUUAGUGAGUACAACAUAUCCACAAAGGCAAGGCGUAAUCACUAGAAAACAAAGGAGAACAAGUAAUAUGAAUAUAUGCGCCAUGAUACAAAAGAAAACUACAGCAGUAAUGGUAACAAAUAUAGUAAAUGAGCACGAAGAGAAGGAGAAAAGAGGUCUCUGGCCGCCGCCGGCGCGAUAGCGGCGGCAGGUACACUUCUGGUAGGCUGGGGUGGAGGGGAAAUAAGGGAUUAGGGUUAGGGUUUGGACUAAUUAAUUCCUAACACUAUAUAUAUAUAUAUAUAUAUAUAUUUAUAUUAAUUUUCUUAUUAUAAUAUAUAUUCUAAAGGUAUCGUUUGGUUCGGAAAUAAGCAAAAAGUGGGUAUUCGGGGAUAGUAUAAAUUGAGGUAUAAGCGGGGAUUAAAUCAAAUUUUGCGUUUGGAUGAAAAUUAGGUUAUCCUGGAAAUAAGAAAAUAGCGUUGGUUAGGUAAGAUGGAAUAAGAAUUAAAGUGGGUAGUUAUAAAUAAAAAUUAAUAAUAUUAUUCUUUUAAUUAUAUUAGAAUUAGAAUUUUUAUAUUUUAUAUUUAUAUUUUAAAAUUUAAAAUAUAAACUUUUAAAUUUUAAAAUUAAAAUUAAAAAUUAAAAUUUUAAAAUCUCAAAUUUAUAAUUUAUAAAAAAUUAAUUUAUCAUGAAUAUUAUUAGAUAAUCAUAAAUGUUAAUUAAUACAUUAAUUACCAGAUUAAUUAAUCAUUAAUCAAUUAAUCAUGAGUACUGUUAAUUAAUAAAUUAUAUAACUAUAAAUAAUUUAAUAAGUUAACAAAUUAGGCUAAUAAAUUAAUAUAUUAGUAAAUUAAUUAAUUAAUUAAUUAUUUAAUUAGUUAUGUUGGUAAAAAUAUUAAUUUAUUAAUCAAUAAAGAUAUUAGUUAUUGCAUAAACCGCUAAUAAAUAAUUAUUAAUUUACCUAAUAUUUUAUUAUUAAAUUAGUUAAUUUUAAUUUAGCUAAUUAGUUAAUAAAAUAAUAUUAUAUAAUAUUAAUUAAUAAUAUUUUAUUAUUAAACAAGUAGAGGUAUAAAGAGAAAAUUUGUUAUUCUACCAAAAGGUGAGAACAACAAAUCCCCUCUUAACGGUUAUUCUAGAAAAUAACCCGUUAGAGGGGGAUAAAAUAAACUCACUCCCUCUUAUAGCGUUUGGAUGAAUUAGAGGGAUAAAGUGGUCUAUUCCCAAUUUAUCCCCCAACCAAACAAUGCCUAAAGGAAAAUUGCCUCCACAGCCUUUCCGCAAUAUGGAGCACCGGAUUGUUUUAGAAAGCAAAAACUACGUAAAAAUUGGCCAAUAUGCGAUAAAGGAAGUUUUCUCGAAUCAUGCAUCGAGAGUAAAAUUGAUUAGCGCCAUUAUCUCCGGCACAGUCGAACCAUCAAAACGACCUAUCAGAUCGCUCAAAACGAAGUCCAAUUCACGUCCAGAGCACACAUACAACAGAAUUAGGUUAUAGGGACACAUGUUUGGGACACUUUUGAGUAAGUGUCCCAUUUAUACUAAAACUUAAAAAAAUAUCUACUAAUGCCUAAAUAUAAAGCGCAACCCAACCAAAAAUAAAAGAUUACUUUACUCAACUCACCACACCCAGUUUAUUUGGCCCGAUUACAAACAGAAAAGAAAAAAAAAAGAAAAAUCAAUUACCAUCUUUUCUUCUUUCUUCACUCAAUCCACUGAAAUUCUAGACGAAGUGCCUUUCCUGUCGUCCUCCUCCGCCACCGCAGCCAACGAGAUAGAGUUUCGGCGGUUGUUAAAUGCUUAAAUAAGUGUCGGUAAAUUAGUAGCACUCUUUUAGGUUAUAGCGACACUCUUUAAUUGUCACUAUAUAUCUAGCGACCCCACAUAUAGCAACACUUUUUAAAAGUGUCGGUAAUUUUAGCUAGCAGCACUUUUUUGACAUGUACCUACAUUUAAAAGUGUCGCUAUAGAUCGUUUUUGUUGUAGUGCAUCCCUACGCCCUUGCCUCAAUUCGAAACAUCAAUUACUAUUCAUUUAAGUGAAUAGUAAAAAUCACGUCACGGCUUUGUUUUAAC
rnacentral:lncRNA from 1 species